AUGUAGCGAGCUGAGUGGGGAGGAGAGAGGGACAGAGAGCCUGGUUGCUUUAAAGGAACCAAUCCUCUCCUCUCCUGCUUUGCUCCUUUAAAAAAGCAGGCUCUCUGUCCCUCUCUCCUCCCCACUCAGCGGCUCUUCUC
rnacentral:miRNA from 1 species